rnacentral:misc_RNA from 1 species
UUUUUUUUUUUUUUUCAGAAAUGUUUUAAGAUUGGGAUUACCAGUUUUUUGCUUCUGUCUGUUGUGAAAGAGACAAAUGAAAGUGGCAGUGAAGACUGAGGAGUAGUAAAACUCGUCUGGUUGAUGUGAUGUUUGUCGAGGACUUUGGAGAUUUUAUGUACUUUUUCCGUACAGUCAAUGGCCUGGAAUGUUGGUUUUCUGUUUCGCAAUUCAUCGUUGCUUGUUCUUCGAUAGUGCGAUAGUGCAAAACUGAUUUGUAGAGUAAUUUGGUUUUAAAUUUGGAUCAGUUCCAUGCGGUCCUUUCCUCUUCGUUUUUACCUUGCCAUUGUUAUUUGAUGCUGAUUUUUUUAGUUCUUUUUGGCAUUUGGGAUGUUUUUGUGUUGAUCAUUCUGCUACUUUGCACGUCUUUUGUUCUGAUUCUUCAUGUUCACCAAAUGCUUCCCAUGCGGAAAGAUGUUAAAAUGUAUUUAGUUAUAACUGUUGAGGUUAUUGUCCUGGC